rnacentral:lncRNA from 1 species
GGCUCAUGUAACAAGUUUAUUUUAUUAAAGAUGAUGGAUUACCUUUUGUGAGGGAAUUUUUAAUGUCAAGGCUGUCUUCAUGGCAAAUUCUGUUAAUAAGAUGCAUUUGUGACCUUGGUAUUAAUACAAUCAUGCAAAGCACGUAACAGAAUCACACUGAAACUAUUAGUAAAAGUCAACUAAUAACUGCUAAUGUAUAUGUGAGUCAAAAGGAUUUUAAGUUUGCCCAAAAUGUUGAGUCUGAUAACAUGAGACACAAUAAUUUCUGUAACAUAUUUCAGGGGCAUAAAGAGUAUUUUAAAUUCUAAAAGGAAAAUGAAUUUUGCUCAUUAAUAAUUAGUAAUUAUAUAAAAUUGAAAACUGUAGUUUCUAAUUUAGCUAAAUAUUUGUGUACAUAUCCUAAUUGAGCUAAUGGUGGGUGUGUGUGUUUUGUUUGUGCAUGUGAACUAAUCCACAAUCUGUUGGUGAUGCUUUAAAGUUUCAGUUU